UUCGAUUCAGUCUAGAAAUCUGAUCGUGUCCUACAAGAUAGAUCCGGUCUGAAAUUUUCCAUCCUCCGUGCAUGUAAGUUACCAUUCUUCCUAAGUGGUUUUUGUAUUCAUGUUUAUCAUAAUCUCCACAUUUUUCUCGUCGUUUGUAUGCUGUAGGAAUGUUCCAUUCGCUUGAUACAUAUGAUGCGGAUGAAUGCAACCAACCUUUUGCCUUUUCUUUCCUCUAAAAGCUUGAAAAUUGAGAGUUUUGACUGUUUGUGUCGUGAUUGUGCUGUUCAUUCAUUUUCCUCCGUUCUCACUUUCUCUGUUCAAUUAUUGCGACAGUUGUUUUCAUUUAAUUAUAUAAUAUGCAAUAUUAUUUCAUUCAAUACUAUAUAAACAAACUUUUUAUAUAAAUAUAGGCUGCGGUUGCUUUUUUCAUAGCAAACCAAUCAAUCAAUUAAUUAAAAUUCAUAAAACUCACUUUACUAGCUACUCAUAGAUUACCA
rnacentral:lncRNA from 1 species